UUACAAUAAAAUAUACUUAAUAUUUGAAAUUAAAGACCAUGACAACGAAAACAUUAUAUUUCUGCGUUCUUGCAAUUGUUUUAUGCAUUUCUGCUGUUACGGCACAACGCGGCUGUCUCAUGUAUGAAGUAAUUUUGCGCCCGGGUCAGAGAGCAUGUCAAGUCAUAUGUUCUCCAAGACAUACGAGAUGUUUCACUUCUAGCCGUGUUCAACGAACAUUCCUUUGUCCUCCAAAUUGUUGUCGUAUUGGUAAUUCAUGCCAUCGACUAAGACUGGCAUAAGUAAUGCUGAGUUCAAAAAAAAAUAAACUGAAUUUGAAUAAAAAAAAAUUGAUUCAUAACA